rnacentral:lncRNA from 1 species
UCAAUACUAAAUAAAUCCAAAUAACUGUAAGAUAAAGUAAUUACUAAACACUUUAACUGCUUAACUGCUACAUCACAACUGUAACAAAAUAGUUUAAUGAAUCUAAGCUAACUGGUUUCGUCAUUUGAUUUUCAGCUGUUUAUAACAAGGAAGAUGAUAUUGGAACCUAUACUAUCAAAGCGGUUGAUGAUCCCAGAACCUUGAACAAAAUCCUUUACAUUAAACCCCCUGGUAAUAUUUACUCAUUCAAUGAUCUUGUGUCCUUGUGGGAGAGAAAGAUUGGCAAAACCCUCGAAAGGGUGUACGUUCCGGAGGAGCAAGUCCUAAAGAAUAUUCAAGGUUAGCUAGAAUUCUUACUUUGUAAAUUUUAUCAAAGAGAGCAAUAAAUUUUGUGCCUUAUUAGUACUGCCUUCUCCGAAACGUUGCAGAAGCUGCACCUCCAGUCAAUGUGAUAUUAUCAAUUCAGCACUCUGCUUUCGUGAAGGGAGAUCAAACCAACUUCCAGAUUGAACCAUCGUUUGGAGUUGAAGCCUCGCAGCUUUAUCCUCAAGUCAAGUACACUACAGUUGAUGAGUAUCUCAGUCAGUUUGUGUAACCCUUCUCUGUUGAGCUGCAGCUUGCAGGAUCUUGGGAAAUAAAUAAUUGGCUUGUUGCCAUCUUUGGUUUCUAUAUGUAAGCAUUAUGGUUGUUGGCCUUACUUUCGUUUGGUUCUCAAUGGAAUUUGUAACACGAUAUUAUGUCCGCUAUGUCAGUACACAGUGAUUAAAUAAAGUAGCUCCAUGUGCUUAAUCUAAAAAUAAUUAUAAAGUCACAAGCACCUAAAAGUUAAACAACAAUGAUAUGCUUACAACAAUGUGUACGACAUCUAAUACAACAAGGAUCAUUUUGCAAAAUAUGUUAAAUUUUAUUAAUUUCUUUGCUGCCCAAAGAUUUUUAUAUUCAUCUUAGGGACCUAUAAUCUUAAUGAAUCAUCUCUUCUUCCAUUUCUCCUACAUCUAUCCUUAAAGCCUUUUAAAGUUUUAACUAUUAUUUUAUAAACUUUUAAAUGAUUAUCAAACUUAUAUAGAUCUAUAAAUUCUAGAUGAGAUCCUAUAUUUAUGAUCAUUUACCUCUUUUGUAACAUGGACCAAAUUUUUUCUUUUAACAUUUCUAUACACACACACACACAUCUAUUUUUCCAACUAAGGAUUAUGUCAUCAAGGCUUUCACAGAGAGGUUGCAAUCUAAAUUUAGCUUCUUGAAUGAACAUAUUCAUAUUAUCAUUAUUAUUAUUCAUUAGUUAUGGUCGGUUUUGAGUUCUAUUAUUAGUUCUGCACCUAUCUUGUAUUAUUUCAAGACUAGACAAAAUUGAUUCCAUUAAUGCUAUCCUAUUUUCCUCUUCAAAGGAAUCAAAUACUUCUUGGUCGUUAUGGAUGUUAAUUCUUUUCAUUUCUUUGGACAAGCGCUUGCUUGCAUUCGAUCUGAUUUUAACAAUAGAAAUUGUAUAAACAACUUGAUAUUCUUAACUGAAAUAUAAAUUAUCAAUUGAAUCUAAAAACUUGUUAACAGAUGUUUCCAUUUUUUUGAAUUUGAGUUAAUCUUAUCACUUUUUUUCUUAUAAAAUCUCAAAAAACAAACAAGACCCAAUAUACUUCCGUUUGUUGCUAAAAUAAAAAAAAGGUUCAAAAUUACUAUCUCUCGGAAUUCUAAGAUAGAUUCACUAAUUGCCUCCAACCAUAGAGAGGUCCAUAGUCAGCACUGCUAUAAGUCCACACAUCAUGUAAGAUCAACUUAGCAACUAUUCUACACGGCCUAACGCAACACAUAGCAGUUUGGCCUUGUAAGAUAUGUCUAAGUGAAUUUCUUGCAAUUGUCUCUGGAAAAGUACUUAAUAACAAGAAAUCUUCCUCGUCUAGCACAAGUAUUGGCCUGUAAGCUUCUUAGUUAAUUUCUAAGAAAAUAUAUGAUAUCAGGAAGAUGAUAAUUUCACUUAAAAGAGUUUUUUUUUUUUAUUUUAUAACUAGAAAUGUUUGCAAAGGAAAGUCAUAGAGAAUACAAAUGUGGGUGAAGGUUUAGACAUAUGAUGUCCUCCCUUUCUUACAUGUUUCGAUUUAUAAGCUUGAAGAGAUAAUAUUAUCUCUUCUUACAUGACACUUGUUAAAUUUUUCUAGUGGAUUGUGGAUUCCUUUAUGAUAAGGUGACCCCUAUCUUCUUCUAUCAUUAAAGACAUAUGUUGUCAUCUUUUUCUUAUUGACCAGCAGCCUUCACAUGGUUAUGAUAAGCUUUAUCUUUUUGGAAUCUUUUCUUAUCUUUUCACAUGCCAAUUAUCAGUUCUUCAUCUAGCGGCAUGUCUUCCCCAUUAGAUUCCCAUUUUGAUCCUUUGUAGCAAUAACCAUAUGAUGACUGAUGAUUUAGCACCUUGCAUACCUCGUGGUGUGUUAGCAAGCUAGAUUCCACGAGAUUUUCAUAGAUUGCAUUUUUCUGUUUUAGUAUUGCCUAUUGUUGGAUAUAAAUUCAAUUGUUAGUGGUGUCAAUGUGCAAGUGUACACAACAAGUAGUAAAGUGAUGAGUAAUCAAGAUCGUAUCCACAGGGAUUGAUGUUAUUAGACUUACUACAACAAUCUUAACAGUGCAGAUUUUUUUUCUAAAUUAAAAUAAAUAAUUGAUGAAACUAAUGUACUAAUUAAAAUAAAAACACAAUAAAUAAAAUGCAAUAAAGUAGAUUAUCACGUCAAAUUCAAGGAUAAAACCAAUGGGAAUAUAGAAUAGUUUAGUGAAUAAACUCUCUUAAUGGUCUUGACUAUUUUCUAAUGUUUGGCUCGGUUGUUGCAGCAUCAGCACUGGGAAGAAUCCUUAUGUAUCCUCAGCUGUCGCAUGUUGGAUGUCUUAUAUCUAUAUGCAACUUAAUAGUGAUCAAUUGUUAUGCCAACAUAAGAUAUAGCAUUACACGUUUAGGUUCUAAUUACCCUACAAGAUUGAUUAACACUAAAAAGUGUACGUGUAAUAAGGAUAAAAUUAUUAGUUUUUCACUUAAAGUGUUGAUUAAUGCACGCAUAACUUAUAAAUUAUAUGAAUGCACCCCAAAUAAAUUUUUGUGUUAAAUUAAUUCGCAAUAUGUUAAUUUUUAUCUUAUAAAUAUUUUUCAAGAAUAAAUUAGAAUUGAAAGCGGGAACAAAGAAGGACUGCUGGAGCAAUUUGGAAGCAUUAUUGAGGAGAUGUAAAUAAAGAAAAAAAUAAAAAAUAAAAUAUAAAAUAUAAAAUAUAAAAAAGAAAAUGAAUAAAAAAAGUAAAAAAAGAACAAAAACCAAGCAAUUUAGUUUCUCGUGAUGGCCACUUGACCAUUACACAUUUCAAUGUACACAUAUAAUAAUAAUAAUAAUAAUAAUAAUAAUAAAAUAAAUAAAGAUAAUGCAUUCCUUGCCUAUAAAAGGCAAGGAAAAGCAGAGAGCUGGGCAUUGAGAAGUUAGAGAACUGAGUAGAGACAGCUUAAGCCGAAAGAGAAUAGAGUGCAGCUGAGGAAUUGUGUCUUUUUCUUCUUUUUCUUCUUUUGUUGUAAUCAACUUUCUUGUAACGUAUUUCCAAAGUUUAUCAAAUAAAUAGAGUGUUGUAUUUUCUUUCAGUAUGAAUGACUAAUUUUAUUAAGCUGAGGUGAAGAGUGAAGCUCAAUAUUUCAAACUAUUAAAUUUAUUAUUUUCUCAAAUGAGUUUUAAAGUUUAUUUUGUUAUUUUCUAGUUAUUUUUAUGUCAUGUUAAUUUAGAAAUUUCUUUAGGAUUUGUAUAGUAUUUUGACACAAUGUCGACACAUUAAUAUAGUGUGGCAUAUUAGGUACUUUAUUCUAUAUUUAUCCACACACAUAGAAUUAAAUGAUAUAAUAAUUAACUGGUAAAAGUGAGGUAAAAUAUAAAUGCGAGAGUAUUAAAAUUAUAGUUUGAAUACUGAGAGUGGAUAUUGUAACCUUAGUAUAUUUUUAAAUUGUUUUCAAAUAAUUUAUUUUCCCACAAUUAAUUUUCUUUGUUUAAUAAAUUGACAACUAGAUUUUAAAAUUCCCUAUGGUUCGACCCCGGACUCACGGGUUAUACUAUAAUUAGACACUCUUAUACUUGGGAGUAAUACACUUUUAAGUUGUGUCAAAGGUGAAUCUCUAUGUCUAGUUCAUCACUAAUUUUAGAUUAAGCAUGACCCUUUUGGGAUUAAAUAAAACUCAAUCCAAGAAACCAAAUCUAAUACCAAGUAUUGCUCUGAUAUGCUUCACUAAGAUAGGCCCUUGUGUGGCUCUUUUUUAGCUAGUAUCAUUAAAUGGGUGAUCAACCGAAAUAAUGAAUAAAAAUAAAUAUUAUCAAAAUAAAAUAUUACAGCAAACAUGCAGCAACUCAUAUAUUCAGUUAAUAAACCAUCAAAAUUGCUUAUCACUCAACCACAAAUAAAUCUAGUUCACGGUUUGAAAAAGAAAAAUAAAGAACAAAGUUUUAGCCAUCAAACACAUUCCCAUGAAUAAAAAGUAAACAUGAAAAUAAGAGAAGAAUAAAAAGGACUGAGUUCCCGCUUGAUUUCUACAAAUUCUCCUCUUGUGCAGCCCUUAAUCUCUCUCUUAAAUUUUUUUUUCUUUUGUUUCUUUGUGGUUUUUCUCCUUGGGUGACAGCUCUUUCUUUUCAUUAUGAUGUGUGCUCCUUUUGUAGUUGAAAAUUAGGGUAAACAGAAGCAUAGGUCGUGCAUAAGUCAGAUUAGGAAAUUACAAAUCACAAUAUUCUGUAAAAUUUUCUCUGUCAUCGUUCCAGAAUUGCUACAGCAACGAAUGUUAUGCUGCAGCAACGAUUGCUACAGUAAUUACUACAACAACUGCACUGUUCUAGAUUUAUUUCAAUUCUUCUGUAGUCAAGUUCUUUUUCAUCUUUUACAAGACUAUUACAACAACAUUCCUUUCUUGAAAUUUGAGCUUCCGGUCACCUACAAUUAUGCAUAUAAUUUAAGCACACAAUUUAUUCUAAAUCAAACAAAAUUAUGAAGAAUAAACUAAGAUGAAUGAUUAUGCAAAAUAUAACUAAAAUGCAAUAAAAAAACAUGUUAUUUACUCUCAAAGUAAUCUUGAUUUAAGUCUAAAAGUGUCAUGAUAACUCUCAUUUUAUAAAGUUAUCACAUAUUUGGCUAAGAUACUUUCUUUUCUACUAAAAAAAAAAGAUUAUAUGGUCCUUUGUGGCUUCAUGGAGCCAUAUUUUUUUCUUACUUAUCCUCUCGAGAAAUUCAUGGAGGACUUUCAUUUAAAUGACCUCUUUGCUCGUGAGAGCUUUAGGCUCGAAUAGUUUGGGAUAAUAAUCAUUGUAGACCUGACCUACAUCAACAGUUGGACUAACUUUUUUACUACUAAUCCCAACUUAUAUCUAUGUGCUGCACUGGAUACCAUUUGUUAUUACAGUGUUCAGGGAAAGCAGUGAGAAUCUUGAAAAAAAUCAUAUCUCUUGUUUUAGAUAUUCUUUUGAGAUCACUGACAGCCUUUGUAAUUUUUUCGGGGAGCUUUUUUAAUUCCCUACAUAAACAAGGUUAAAAAAACUAUAUUCAAACAUUUCUUUUAUUAAUUUUGCAUCAGCUUCUGGACCAAAGUUAAUCCUUAGGUAAUAUCCUAAAUGAUUCGGUAUUAUAGCUUGGCUAGGACAAAUCCCAUAGGCUAUUUUACCAAUUAUUUUACAAUCAUAAGUGUAAUUGCUUCCUAGUGGAAUUUUAACCAUUAGAAUGGAUUGUUCGCUUUUAUCAUAUUGAGGCCUUAAGCUCACUGAAGAGGUUUAAGAUUCUUUUUUCUUUUGAGUUAUAUGAAGAACUCUAGGUAGUCUGCCCUUCAGUUUGAUCCUUGAAAUGGAUCUUUUUUAGCUUAUUACUAAUAUAUUGUUAUAAAGUCUGGACUUCUGGAUGAUUUUGCAAACUUUUGUCAGGGCAAAGUCAGCUCAAUUCUUCAUGGGCAGCAUUAAUCAUGACAAGCCCAUCAUAAAUCAUACUAUUGCCUUUGAGAAGCAAUUCUUGUCCUUUAGAGCACAUCAUUAUGCCCUUAAUUAUUUCGGAAAGACUCCUCUCCAUGUAUUCUCGGCUAAGAAAAUCUGCAAUACAAUGGUUAGGUCAUUUAAUAUAUUCAAUUCAAAAAUCAUAUUUAGUAAAGAACUGCCGCCAUCUAAUUAAUCUUUUAUAUUAAGGGAGAUUAGACAAUUUAUUAAAUAUAAAUCCUUUGACUCAAGUGUUAUUAGAUCUUACCUUGAAUUUCUUUGGUAGCAAAAAGAAAGUAAAUUUAGUUAUUCCAUUUUUAAAUAUAAAUGUUUCGCUGACAUAUCUGCAAAUCUUUUCUUGAUCUAUUUUUAAAACUGCACCCCAAUGAUUAUCUGAAGCAUUAGUUUCAAGAAUUAAAUUAUCACUAGUGGUAGGAAAUCCUAAUCUUGGUAGAUUUUUACAUUUUUCUUUUAAUCUUUUUCCCACUUUGGUAUAAAGAUCUUCCCAUGAUUUUAUAUUGUUCUUUUUUAAUAAUCCUUGUGAAAGUUGUUUUUCUUUAACUAAGUUUUAUAUGAAACCUUCAGCAUAAUUAAGGCAUCCUAAAUAUCUUUGAAUUUGUUCUUUAGAUUCUAAUUUAUCUAGGAAUAAAUAUAUAUUUUCAAAAAUAUGAGGUUGCAUCUCAAUACCUAUUUCAUCUAUUAUUAAUCCUAGAAAUUCUAUUCUAGGUUUCAUUAUUUCGGCUUUCUUUUUAGAAAGUAAUAUUCCAUGUUUCUUUCAUUUUUCUGUAAAAGAAACGAGAUGAUUAAUAUGAUCUAUCUCAUUAUCUAAAUAUAUUAGAAUAUCAUCCAUAUAAACAAUGCAAAAUUCAUGAAAUUCUUUGAAGAUUUUAUCCAUCCUUCUUUGAAAUAUUUGUGGUGCAUUUUUUAAUCUAAAAAGCAUCACAAUCCAUUUAUAUUGUCCUUAAGGUGUACUAAAGGCAGUAAGUGGUAAUACUCUCUUCUACAAGUUUGAUUUGCCAAAAUCCAUAUUUGCAAUCAAACUUGCUAAAUAUCUUUUUAUUAAUUACAAAGGUAAUUAAUAUAUUUUUAUGAGGUAAAAAGUAUCCAUCAAAUUUGGUAUAUUUAUUUAAUUAUUUGUAGUUAAUAACCAUACGAGCUUUUCCUCAUUUAAUCUCUACAUGAUUCCUAAUCAUAAAGAUUGUACUACUAUGAGGACUUUUAGAUUAUCGAAAAAUCUUAAGUUCUAAUCUCUUUAAUUUGUUUAUCAAUUUUUUGUCUAUCUUCUUGCCCAUAUCUCAUAGGCUUAACACAUAUAAUAACAUUUGGAUCUUUUAAUUCGAUCUUAUCAUAUGCUUUAUCAAUUUCCCAUAAUUGAAUGGGGUUUUCACCAAAAUUUUUAUCAAGUUUUUCUAAAUUUUUUUCAUAAUUUGAUAUGAUUUGAUUGAUUUUUAUAGCAUAAUUACCACGCUAGUUGUGUUGAAAAUGUAAUUUUUGAGUUGUUCGCCUAACAGGGUUAUAAAUUCUUGGUGUAGUAACGGAAUGAUUACAUGAUGUUUUAAGAAUAAUUAUUUCGUUAGUCAUUGUAUAAAUGAACUGAUGAAGGAAAUUAAUUCCUAAAAGUAUAUCUACACAUAUAUGAUCAUAAGACCAUAAUAUAGGGAUACUUAGGAUAUAAUCUUCUAUUUGGAUUAAAGUCUUAAUCCUACAUGUCCUUAAGGUGAUCUAUUUAACAUUUAUUCCUUGUCCUGUUAAAGGCUUAUAAUCUUUCGAAUAUGAUUUUGGAUAAAACCUAGAAUUAGCUAAACUAACUCUUGAACCAGUAAUAAUUAAAGCAUGAAACCAUUCUCGCUUAUGCUUAUAGUAUGGUAUGAUCAUUUUUAUAUGAACUACAAAAAGAUUAGACAUAUCUUGAUAUGGUUUGCUUAAUCCCUUCAAUUGUUAUGCUUAUUUCUCUAUCUCUUAUGCAAUAAGGAGAGAAAUUCAAAAAAAAAUUCAUCCCCUAAUAAUAAAGGAUUUAUUUCUGUUUCAUAAUUUGAUUCUAUGAAAAAAAGAAAGAUAAAUUCUAUCCCUUUUAUUCUUAAUGGUAUUUCACAAUACUGACUUAAUGUCUUUCUUUCUCCAUUAAAGCCUACAUAUGUAUGAGGUUCAAUUAGAAUCUUUCUUUCUAAAUAUUUAAUCAUUUUGGCAUCAGCAUAAGAUUUUACUACUCCUGUAUCAAGGAUAGCAAAAGUCUCAUGGCAUGAUUUUCUAUUAUUCUAUUCAAUCUUGAUUUUUAAGUUUUGAUUAUUUUUCUAACUGUGGCCGAUAUUUCAUGUGAUAGUGGUAUGACAAGAUGGUUACAUCUAGUAUAACUUUGGGUUCUACUUAAUUAUGGUUCUAUUUUGAGUAUAGAGAAUGAUCUUCUAUUUCCUAUGAUGAUUCUUCCUUCUAGAGUAUAUUCUAUGGGUUUAGUAGUAUUUCCCCUUAUCAGAGUAGGUUGACUACUUAGAUCCAUUUCCCAUUCUUCUGGUAAAUUUAUUUCUCUUAAAAUUUUAAGAGAUUGUGUCAUUCCAACUUUCUUAACUAAUUUAUCUAUUUCAAUAAAAUCUUUAUUAGCAAACAUUUCACUAUUGGAAUUUGUUAAUGCAUAUUCUAUGGCAUACGUUAUGCUAUAUGGAUAAGAUCUAUCAUGCAUUAUAUCAAAGUAUUUAAAAUUACGGCAUAAGGUUAAUUUAUUUAUAUUUCUAUCUCUAAAACUUAUAGAAUAUAUGGAAUAUAUCUUAAAUAUCAAUUUUUUUUUUAUAACUCAAGUUCUUUAUAUUAUUCCAAGGAGUGCAUGUUUUCGAUCUUUUAUUCUAUUAUCAAGUACUGCUAAAUUUACAGGACUAUCUAUUUCUUUUCGAAAAUGAGCUUUUAUCAUGACUUGGAUUCUUCCAAUAUGGACAUAUCCAAUCUUAGGUCUGUCGCUAGAUUUUAUCUUUUAUAUCAGAUUUUAAUAAUAAUGGUAUAUUUUGUAUUUCCCCUAGCAUACCUAAUUUCAACAAGCUCUUCUCACACAGUAGCACUAGAAUACGUUAUAUUUUUUCUUUUAAUCAUGUUAGCAAUUCCUUGUGCUAACUUAUUAAUUGAAGUCAUGGAUGAUUCUAAUCCCUUUUUUUUAAUCUUAAGGUAUUGUUUUUUUUAUCAAAGAUUAAUUCUCUAUUAAAAGAACCUUAUUCAUUAAUUCUCUAUUAAAAGAACCUUAUUCUUCUAAUUCUUCAUCCUGAUAUAAAUCUUUAUUAUCUUGUUCUUCUAUACUCAUUCUGAAUCUGAACUACUUGAAGUUUCUUCAGAAAGAUAAUAUAUAUUAUCGUUUUCACUAAUAUCUUCUCUAUUUGUAAUUAAUUCUAAAUUGUUGAAAUCCUCAAACAUCUUUAUGUUUGCUUUCUUCUUUUUAGGACAUUCGUUUGCAUAAUGCCUCUCGUCAUUGCAUAACCAACAUUUAGAUGCAUUGGUCUUAGAUUUUCUUUUAAAUUUAUUUUUCUUGUAGAAUUUCUUCUUAUAUUUACUUUUGUUGUAAUAUUUCUUGUUGGUUUUAAAGAAUUUCUUCCUACGUUCAUAGAUUUUAUCUGAACAUCCAAAUCUUGGUGGAUCUUCUAACUUAGAACAACAUAAUCCUCGAUUUUGCUUUUUUAUAAGUCUUUUAUCUCUUAUUUCAGCACACCAUUCGCUGAUUCUAUUUCCAGUAAAUCUGAUCUUAUUUCCUAAGGUAUUAGUUUUCGUUGUAUCUUCAUAUUUCUUGUUAUAUUCUAACAUAAUCUUUUUCCCUUAUAGGUCUGGUAUCUUUAUAAAAUAUAGAUCAUUAUAAUAGCAUAUGAUAUUUUCAUGUUUAUCAAAUUCACAUUUAUAAUAUAAUUUUUCGAGGCUACAUGUGUAUUCUUCUAAAUAACAUAUAUUACAUAUUUUAAGCCUUAUUAGCUUUAUUACAUUUUCCUCUUUAUUUCCUGUUGAAAAUUAGUUUCCUAAUCUUCUCCUAAGAAUUCUUUCCUUAUUUCAUUUUCAAAUUUAUUUACGACUUGAUCCAAGCUUUCGUCGUGAUCAUUAUUUUCUCCAUAUAAUAUUUUAUUUUUGUCGGUAUCCUUUAAUUCCAUAAACCAAUGUGACACUAUUCCUAUAAACGAAGUUUUAAGAAAUCCUAUACCAUUAUUUCUAUCUAUUUUGUUAAAUGCAAAUGCCUUUUUCAUAGAUUUAACCCAAGCGGUAAUCGUUUAGUCUCUAUCUUUGACACAGUCUAAAUCCAACCAUACUCCAUCAUAGUUGAUUGGUCUGUCUCUGUAUUCUCUUGGAGUUUUAUAUAUAUUUUUUUAGGUUUGUUAACCCUAAAAUAUUGACCUUGUGGUUUUCAUGAGUUGGUAUUUCUUUCCUAGCAUAGGAACCUCUAUUACUAGAUUCCCUUUGUUCAAAGACCCUUGGCUUUGAUUCAUUCAUUUUUAAAUGUUCUAUUCUAUUUUCAAUAUCUUGUAAGUUAAAUAAAAUACAUCUUCUUCCUCUUCAGAUUCAUAUUUCUUUUAUCGGAUAUCUCUGGAUUUAGAUAAUUCUUUUUAAUCCAUUAUCUAUAUUUUCACUUAACAUCCUUAAACUUAUUAAUUUUUAUCUUCAUUUAUUUUUGUUAAAUAUUUGGUCUUGAUAUUGCUACCAUUUUUUUAUUUUUCUUUUCAUCGUAGUAAAUUAUGGUAUCUUCUAAAAUUUUAUUUUUUUCUUGAAUUACCAUGAGUAGUUCUUCCAUAUUGUUACUAAUCUUUUGUACUUCAAUCCUUUUGUAAUUUUCCAUUUAUACUUAUUGCAAACUUGUUACCAAGUUGUUCAAUGAUUUUUUCAAUUUUAUAUAAUUGAAUUUCUAUCUUAUUUAAUUUAUCUUCAAUUAAAUUUUUGUUCAUGACAUUAAAGAUUUCUUGUCUGAAUCUAAUCUUAAUCUUCAAUUUUGAAGUCUUUUAUUAAUUGUUUGACUGAAUCAAAUUCUUCACUUAUUUAAUCUCCUAACAUUUUAAUUUAUCUUAUAUUUUGAGCAUUAAAACUUUUAAUUUCAAGUAUUUCAUUUGUACUUUCUAUAUCAUUUAUGGUUAAAUUAUGAUUUCCUAAUUUAUUUAAUAAACAUAGUGAAAUCCAGUUUAACUGAUUAUUUCCCCAAAAAUCAGAAUCAUUUACCAAAUUAAAUGGUUGAAAUCUUCUAUAAGUAAAUUCUCUAUGCCUACAACUAGACGGUGGAAAUUUAUAGGUUUCUAUGUUUUGUGAAAUUAUCAAUGGUUCUAUAAUUUAUUCAUAGUACCAUCUGCAUAAUAUUUCAUUAUAUGCUAACAAGUAUUUGUGACAUAUAAUAUCUCUUAUAUCGUUAGGAAUAUUGUUUUCUUCUAAUCCUUUAUAUAUAUAGCAAUAUACAUAAUAAAAUUUUUAUAUCCUAUCAGCAUGUUACUAGAAGGAUAGUAUUUACUUCUAAUCCUUUUAUUAUUCCAAUUGUAUUCAUUUCUUUGCUUAAUAGUUAAAAAUAUAUUAUAAUCAAUCACAAGUUCGUCUGUAUAAUUCUCAACAGAAUUAAUAUUCCAUUUUUUUCAUGAAAAAUUAUUUCUAUAAACCUCUCUCCUAGUUCUCAAUAGGAGAAUAUGAUCUAUGUUUAAAUUUCUAUUCUUUAUUAUUAUGAGUUCUCCAAUUCUAAAUUCAUGAACUUGGGAUAAAUACAAUUGUUCUAAUUGUUUAUCAUCCAAUCUAUUUUGUUUUGAAUAAUAAUAUUGUGUAUGUUUAGUUAUGUUAUCCUUAAUUGUAUUACUAUCUAUCAUUAGAUUCUAUCCUCCAUUAUUUAUAAAAUAAACAAUCGUUUCUUCCAUUUUUAUAUUUUGAACCUAAAACUUGCCUUUGAUACCAAUUUUGCGAAUAUUUUUCAACCCAAAAUUCAAAUAAGGAUGUAAAUGAUUAAUUUUUAAAACUUUAUGAAUGCUUUGUAAUUUUGUUUUAUUAAAAGACAGUUUUAUGCAAAGUAUUGUGCAAUCUUUUGGAAGAUUGUCUUUUUCCGAAGUUAAAAGUAAUUCAUCAAUAUUUGACAUGUCAAACGCAGAAAUUAAAAGUAAUUCAUCAACAUUUGUCGUGUCAAAUUUACUUUAUGGAGGAGAAAUUGUAGGAACCAAUUUUAUGGGAUAGAAAAUUCUAGAAAUCCAAUCGAAAGAUAUUUAAUAAAUAAUUUUGUAGUAGAUUAUGUUAAAUACAAUAUAUAAUAAAUCCAUGAGUUGUCACUCAUGACAAUUCAAUUAUUUAGUUUUGACUAACAAUAUUAUUACGUAUAACGUUAAUAUAACAUAGCAUGAGCCAUUUUAUAGUAUUAUUUUAACUGAAUUGAAAUUCUCGAAAUAAAAAAUUGAAAAGAAUGAACCUGGUGGUUGUUGUGAACCAAAAACAAGCCAGUAUUAUGCUUACAUCAUUCCAUUCUACAGUAAAGGUUAUUUAUAAUCAUAAUUAUAGCACCAAAUUAAUUGUAUUAUUAUAAGAGGUUAUAACUUAAUAGAUGUGUAAUUAUAAAAAUUAUUAUUUUAACUUAAUUAUUUUUAGUGCCAGUGAUAUGGAGACCAAAUAUGCACUAUAUUGAUAAUUAAUUAAUGUAGCAUGUCAAAUUCAAUUUAUAGACAAUAAUGAAAGAGAUACACAUAUUUAAAAAAACUAGUACGUAUAUUAUGUAAUAUUGGAAUUAUGCAAAUUUAUCUUGAAAGUUUAAAGAAUAAAUCAUUGUCCUAAAUAAUUUUAGAAAGUUAUUUUACUCCAUCUUAAACCUUUAAUACAACAUGGCAUUUUUUUUUAACAAUAUACCAAUAAUUAUUAUUAUAUAAAGGCAAAUUUCUUAAAAUCAUAUUUAAAAAAACUAUAAUUCAUUAUAAUAUAGAGUUUAUUCUUAUUUAUAACUACUAGACUUAAUAAUAGAACGAGUUGUACCCGAGCCAUGCCAAGACCUAGCCCAACCCUAUGACUAGAAUGAAGGGAUCUUUUUAUCAUUAUAAUAACUACCUUUCAUCAAUUUUUUUUUUAAAACUAUAUAAAGAUUAUUCUUACAUGAAGUAACAAUACAAGGCCCUCAUUAAGAAAUGAACCUGGACGACAUUAGGGCCUUUAUCCACAAACAAAAUUUCAAAACAUACUUAAAAAAAAAAAUCCAACACAUCCGUUAAGUACAACUUUAACAUGGUCACAUGAAAUUUGUGGGGUUAAUUUAUUUAAUUGUAUGCACCCGUUUGGUUUCAUUGAUCUCAUGGCUCAGGUUGAUAGUUAUUAAGUUAUGAGUCAUGAUUACCUAAAAUUUAUUUGGUUAUCCGUUAUUCUAAUGUUGUAUUUAAACCAUAAAACUAGAGAUAACAAAAUUUAUGAGAAGUUUUGUCUUAUCACAAUGUCUAUUACUGAAGAACGUAGUCCUCUUGAAUAACCAUGAUAAUUUAUUUAAUUUCUUUUGCUCUAUCUUAAACAUAUUAUAAUUGUAGUCAAAGUUUUGAUAGUAAAAAUAUAAAUAAAUAGAUAAAACAAAUGUGUCUAUUUCCAUAACUAAAGGGGUGUAUAUAUACAUUUGGACCAACCGAUAAAAUUUAGAUCAUGACAUUAGGUGAAAAUAAUCUUAUUUUAUUUUCUUUAGAUUAUGUUGGAGUUGUAACUUGCAAUCGAACAAUUCUCGAUUGAUUUAACAAAUGACCUUAAGGCCAUGUUUGCUUGGGGUAGAGAAGUGGGGAGAGGAAAAGAAUUUGAUUUCUUUUAUACUUUCCAUUGUUUGGUUAGACUAAAUUUAAUGGAAUUGAAUUUCCAUCAAUUUGAAGAAUUUGUAUUCCUUAUCAAUGAAUAAGGAUUUCAAAUUCCUUAUCUAUUUAAACACAAAAAUUCUAAUAUUAUCCUCUAAACAAAAUCAAUUUUAAAUAAAUGAAAGUAAAAAUAAUUUAUAUUUAUUUUCUUAAAUUAAUAGAAUAAACUUAUUUGAAAAAAGAAAAAACAGUAAAGGGACUCCCCAAAAAGUCACCGGAGUUUCGCCGGAGACGCGCUUUACCAUCAAAACCGGUACCGAUGGAAUCCUUAUGAGCCGAUCUACAACUCUAUGGGGUUAGAAAUGCUAAUAUACAUUGUUAUUUACCUCAAGUCUUAUUUAAAUGUUUGGGAAAAUUUUAACUCUCAUAUUUCCAACUAUAUAGUGUAUUUUCUUCAAAAUUAACAUUUCUAAUGAGUAAAUCAUCCAUUUAUGAUCAUUAUUAUGCAUUUAACGCGAUGAAAAAUGGAGGUCAAUGAUGGUCAAUGGCACCGGUCAAUGGUGGUUAAUGGAGGUCAACGUGGCAGCUGUCCAUGGCCAAAUGCUGUCAUUUUUUAAAAAAAAAAUUUUUUUUAUUUAAUUAGGUAAUUUUUAGAUUAAAUUAAUUCAUAAUUUUAUUAUGUUUUAAUGUAUUAACAAUAUUAACAUUAAAGAUAGUGGGUAUAUAUUUGUCCAAAUAAAAAAUAUGUAAUUUCUUUUCCUUUUAAAUUUUAUGUGAAACCAAACAAUAACAAUUAAUUUUUGUACUCUUUUCCUCUCACCACCUCUCCAUUCCUCUUUUUUUUUUUUUUUUUCUCCUCUCCUCUCCUCCCAUUUCUUAAAACCAAACACCUCCUUCUUAGGAGGUGUUUGGUUUUGUAAAAUGAAAAAUUCUAUAAAUAUGAUUUUGUUGAAGCCUUAAAUAAACCAUACAGUCUGUGCCGCGUAGAAUGGGAUACAGAAUUUUGUAUUUAGCUUGCAUGCAAAAUGCAACAUGCUUACGUGUGUCUAAUUUUCUAAAUAUCUCAUCCAUGCGGCAGCUAGCUUAGCCUUUUUAUAUUGAAUAAUUGAUCAUACAAGUGUAGUUUGUUAGUUUUACGCAACCCACGUAAAUCAAUUUUAUUACGCAAGAAUUAUUGAGAAAUCGCAAAUUAAGUUGAACUGGUCCAUGGUCAGAUGGUCUCGUCUCGUCUCGUCUCACCACUUGGUAUUGAUGCCAUGGGAAAAGAGUAGUUGAUUACUUGAUUUUUUAGACUUGGGGUGGCAUUGAAAAAGAUUGUUGAAAAGGAAUCGAGUGAAUCAAAUCGAAUUAGUUUGUCUUUCUGUACAAUACAUCCCCCAUUAUCUAGCUUAUUCAGUCUUGAGAAUUAUUAUCUGAUUUUGAUCCCCCAUUUAAACUUUUUGCCAAGACUAUCCUAGAAAUUGAUUUGUUUAUCAUUGCUUCUUGGUCCUUACGGUCUUUUAUGAAUCACAAUCAAUUUAAUCAUACAUAAAAAUACGGGUACAAGCUGGUUAGCUUACACGCUUCCUAUAUAAGAAAGGUACGGGCAUCAGAUUCAAAAUAUCCAUCCAUUCAUAAUUUAAAAAAAAAAAAAAAAACUCCGGAAUUGAACUGAACGAGUUUCAGACAUGGCAUCGAAAAGCAAGAUUCUAUCCAUCGGCGGGACAGGGUAUAUCGGUAAAUUCAUCGUGGAAGCAAGCGUUAAAGCUGGUCACCAGACGUUCGUGCUCGUGAGAGAAUCCACACUCUCUGAUCCCUCCAAAUCUCAACUCCUCGACCACUUCAAAAACCUCGGCGUCAAUUUCGUUAUCGUGAGUUAUCAUUUUUUUAUUUUUUUAAUUCCAUUAUUUUGACCCGUGGCAGUGUAGUAUCUACUUGAAAGACUUAGGUGGCGUUUUUUUUUUGUCUGAAAUCUGAAUAGACCUGAAUUAGUCUGAAUUCUGAAUAGAUCUGAAUGUCUGAAUUUGAAUAACAUGUUUGUUUUUUCGUCUGAAUAUCAGAAAAUAAGUAUUAAAUUGUUUUUUUUUUCAACUUAAAAAGCUAAAAAUAUGUACUUUUACAUUUGUAUCCUUAUUAAAUUUGAAUGUCAAAUAAAUAAUAUAUUAAAUACCACAAUAUUUUAACAUUUAUAAGUAAAACUAUAUUUAAGUGAAUACAUAAUUAUUUUGGAAUUUUAAUAUAUAAAAUACCAUAAAUGUUAAAUUUUAUCGUAUAUAAUAUAAGAAAGAAAAGUAAGGAUAUUUUUAUGUGGGGUAAAUGUCUAUGGGUGAGUUUGGGAUAGACAUGGAAAAUAAAUUAUAAAGCAAGGAUAUUUUUGACAUUAGCAAGUAAUUGACUUAAUUCAGAUUUCUCCAUUAAGUAAAAAGCCAAAAAAAUUGGCUUAUUUUAUUAAGUCAAAAUUAUCUAAAAAGUCUCAUUAAGUUAUAAAAACAAACACCUCUAAUUAACUUAAUUAAUUAAGUUAAGUCACUUUAAGUCAUUAAGUUAAAAAACAAACACCACCUUAGUAUUUUUAUUUUAUUUUAUUUUAUUGGGUGCCGUUAUUAUUAUGCAGGGAGAUGUUUUGAAUCAGGAGAGUUUGGUUAAGGCGAUAAAACAAGUGGACGUGGUGAUAUCAACAGUUGGUCACACUUUAAUAGCCGAUCAGGUCAAGAUUAUUGCUGCCAUUAAAGAAGCCGGCAACGUUAAGGUAUGACAUAAUUAUAAAUAUCUUGGAUCAGGAUUGUGCACUCGCGCACACGUGGUGAUUUAUUAUUGGCGUGGAGCUCGUUGUAGACUAGAGCUCCCUGUUCCGCCAAUAAACACCCGCUACAUGCACAAUUGCGCCCUCAAGAUAAUUUAAUUAACUAAUUAAUUAUAAACACCUAUGGCGUGAAUGCAACUAAAAGUAGCUGAUGUUUGUAAAUUAUUUAUUAUUCAGAGAUUCUUCCCGUCGGAAUUUGGAUUGAUGAUGAUCGAAUCCACGGCGCCGUAGAGCCAGCAAAAUCAACGAAUGUCGUAAAGGCGAAAAUCCGCCGAGCCGUUGAGGCAGAAGGCAUUCCGUAUACUUAUGUAGCAUCGUACUGUUUGAAUGGCCACUUCCUUCCCAAUUUGUCGCAGCCUGAGGCCACUGCCCCCCCUAGGGAUAAGGUCGUCAUCUUAGGUGAUGGAAAUCCAAAAGGUAAAAUAAAUUAAUUAAGCUCAUUGUUUUUAAUAAGAUUGUUGAAAAUAACCAUGUUUAAGGCUCCGUUUGUUUGGUAUAUGUUGCGAUGUUAGUGUUAUGGCCUAUUGUAGAAUGGAUGGUCUAGCAACUUAGUGUCUAUUUGGUACUGUUGUUGGAGAUUUUAAGAUAGAGUUUUAAGUGAUUACCAGAUACUGAACUGCCAUAUCAUGGCUGCCACACAACAAUUUCAAACAGAGCCUAAAUAACUUCAUUGCAAAAUAGUUAAAUGAAUCUAACUUAGUUUGGUCAUUUGAUUUUCAGCUGUUUAUAACAAGGAAGAUGAUGUUGCAACCUUCACAAUCAAAGCGGUUGACGAUCCUUGAACAAAAACCUUUACAUUCAGCCUCCCGGCAAUAUUUAUUCGUUCAAUGAUCUUGUGUCUCUGUGGGAGAGAAAGAUUGGCAAAACCCUCGAAAGGGAGUAUGUUUCAGAAGAGCAGCUCCUAAAGAAUAUUCAAGGCUAGUUAAAACUCUCACUUCUAAAUGUUAUUAAAGAAAGCCGCGAAUUUUUGCCUUAUUGAUCCUGUCUUCUCACUUCUAAAUGUUAUUAAAGAAAGCCGCGAAUUUUUGCCUUAUUGAUCCUGUCUUCUCACUUCUAAAUGUUAUUAAAGAAAGCCGCGAAUUUUUGCCUUAUUGAUCCUGUCUUCUCCAAAAUGUUGCAGAAGCUGCACCUCCACUCGGGAGGUUGUUAUCAAUUUAUCACUCUGCUUUCGUGGAGGGAGUUCAAACGGACUUCAAGAUUGAACCAUCGUUUGGAGUUGAAGCCUCGCAGCUUUAUCCUGAUGUCAAGUACACUACAGUUGAUGAGUACCUCAAUCAGUUUGUGUAACCCUUCUCUGCUUCCAGCUGCAGCUUGCAGGAUCUUGGACUCUGGGUAAAUAAAUAAUGGGCUUGUUGCAAUCUUUGGUUUUUAUAUGUAAAAAUUAUGGUUGUUGGCCUUACUUUCUUCUGGUUGUCAAUGGAAUUUGUAAGACCAUUUUAUGUUUGCUGUGUCAGUGAUCAAAUGAAGUAGGCCAUGUACUUGAUCUGAGAAUAAUUAUAAAGCCAACAUGGUCAGGUGAGUGCGUCUGUGGGGCUUUUAUUAGGGUGCGUGUGUGAGGCUUCUGAGGGGCUUGUGAUAUGGGGUCUACAGCCCCUAAUGGGCACGCGACUGCGUGCACUAAAUGAAGUUAUUAUAAAAAUAAUUAUAGAGUCACCAAGGCAAAAAUUAAAAGUAAUUUGCCAAUAAAAAUAGUUAAAAGUAAUAACAAGUAGGUAGUAUAUUUCAAAAAUCAAUUUUUCAUUAAUGUUUAUAAGAUUAAAUUUGUUCUUAUCUUUCCUUAAUAAACACAAAAAUUUAUCGUUUUGGACUAAUUAAAAUUUUAAAACUAGCUAACAAGCAAACCGCCAUUAAUUUUUUUUUCCAUUUCUUUAAUCAUUCUUUUUUCUCUUUUUGACCUUUUUCUUUUUCUUUUCUUCAGUCCUUAUUUUUCUUUGCUUUUUUGGUUUUCCUCUAAACUCUUUAAGAAAGGCUGCCAAGCCUUGAAAAUAUCUCAAAAAAUAAGAUUUUCUUUCUUAAGAUUAACAUUUUAACCACAAAAAAAAAACUCUAGUCCAAACAUUGAGCACUUACAAAUCAAACGAUAAAAACCUCUUAUUAGUACAUUAACCGUAAAAUAAAAAAGAAUUAUCACAAAUAUUGAAAUGUUGUUGUUUGAUGCUUGAGAUUCUUGAAAUGUAUGCAGAAUUCCGACAAUAUUUUGUUGAAGCAACUCUCGGAAACUUGUUUGUUGAGAUGAAGAGUCCAUGGCAAGUAACCAGGCAUAUUGCAAUCCUUGUAAUUAUUCUGACCGAGAACAAUAAAACAAAAAGUGAAAACUGAAGAAAAUGAUAAGAAAACAAUAGAAUAAUAAUAUUAAAAACUCGCUAAUCUUGCCCAAUUUUAUUUUAUUUUUUGGAUAAUGUUCAGCGUAUACUAGAAUCUUUUAGAGCAGAAGCAAAACAGCAACAACUUUUCAAGAAAAGAAAAAAAAAAGAAUUAUUAAAGAAAAUGGAAAAAAGAAUUAACGGCAGUUUAUUUGAUAGCUUUUAGAUAGCCAAAACCGGUGAGUUUUUGUGUUUUAAUAAGGAUAGUUAGGAAUAAAUUUAAUCCUCUCUAUAGAAUCAUUUAGUUACUAUGUGUCAAAAUCUCCUGUAAAGAAUAGGAAAAAUUAAAUUAGAAGAGGAUCCAAAUCAUCAACAUCUUGGAAUAAACAAAAGAAUCUAAACAAAAGAAACUCGUUUUGCGUGUGAACCAGUUCAAGAUAAAGAGCAGACUAUUGGAAAGAGACAAAUACUACAAGAAUAACAAAACAUUCUACAGUUACUACAUAAGCCUGCAACAAUUCAUUAUUAACUCAAGAUUUAUUACACUUUUUCUUUAAUUUAACAAAGAAACCAAAAAUGAAAUAAAAUUGACAACAGCAAUGAUAUGCUUACAACAAUGAGUAUGAAACUUAGUACAACAAGGACCUUUUUGCUAAUUUUUUCAAAUUUUUAUGAUAUUUUAGAAUUUAUGGGUUUUAUUGAUUUUGAUAAAUUGGAGCAUUUCUCCAUUCAUCUUUUCUGCAUCUAUCCCUAAAUUUCUUAUCUUUGUAAAGUUUUAACUAUGUCUUUGUAAAGUUCUAAAUGAUUAUCUCGUUCAUAGAGAUCUAUAGUUAAAUUAAUUCUUGUAUUUAUAAUCAUUUGUCUCCUUUGAGACAUAGACCAAAUUUUUUCUUCUAACAUUCCUAUGUAUAUUCCUAAGCUAUAUUUCCAGCUUAGGUACAUCUUAUCUAGGCUUUCACAAAUAAAUUGUAAUUUGAGAUCUGCAUCUUGAAUCAACAUCACCAUAUUAUUAUUAUUAUUAUUAUUAUUAUUAUUAUUAUUAUUAUUAUUAUUAUUAUUAUUAUUGUUAUUAUUAUUAUUAUCCAUUGUUUUAUACUCGAUUUUGGGUUCUAUUACUAGUUGCACUUGUCUUGGAUUAUUUCAAGGCUAGAUAGAAUUGAUUCUAUUAAUGCUAUCAUGUUUCCUUCUUCAAAUGAAUCGAAUAUUUUUGCUUUUCAUUUCUUCAUACAAGUGUUUGCUUGUAAUUAAUCUAGUUUUAACUAUGGAAAUUGUAUAAGCAACUUGAUAUUCUUGACUAAAGUCUAGAUGAUCAAUUGCGUCUAGAAAUUUAUUAACAGAUCUUUCCAUUUUUAUGAAAUUGAGUUACUUUUAUCACUUCCUAUCUUAUAACAUUUCAGAAUACAAACAAGGCCCAACAUGCUUCCAUUUGUUGCUAAAAUAAAAGAAUAGAGUUCAAGAUUACUAACCAGUGUACAUCUCUCGGAAUUCUAAGAUAGAUUCACUAAUUGCCCUCAACCAUAGAGAGGUCUAUGGUCAACUCCGCCAUAGCUCCACACAUCAUAUAAGAUCACUUCAGCGACUGUUACACAGGCCCAACGCAACAUAUAGCAAACGGGCCUAAAAGAAUAUGUCUAAGUGAUUUGCUUACAGCUGUCUCUGGAAGAGUGCUUAGUAGUAGAAAAUCUUCUUCCUUUAGCACAAGUAUUGGCAUGUAAGGUUCUUGGUUAUUUUCUAAGAGUAUAUAAGAUAUCUGGAAGAUGACAAUUUCGCUCAAAAGAGUUUUAUUUAUUUCAUCAUUGAAAUUAUUUACAGAGGAUGGUUACAGAGAAUACAGGUGUAGGUGAAGGUUAGGCAUGUGAUGUCCUUCCCUUCUUACAUGCUUCUAUUUAUAAUCUUAAAUAGAUAAGGUUAUCUCUUUUACAUGACACUUGUUUAAUUCUCUUGGUGGAUUGUGGAUUCUUUCCUGAUAAGGUGACCCUUCUUCUUUUUAUCAUUAAAGACAGUGGUUGUCUUUUUUUCCUGGUGGUAGACAGCCUUUAUCUGGUUGUAGUGCGCUUUAUCUUUUUGGAAUCUUUCUUUUUGAAUUAUUAAUGCUUUUAGGAUAGCACCUUUUAUCUUUUCCAAUGGUUCCUGUCACAUGCCAAGUAUUAAAUCUUCCUCUAGUGACAUGUCUUCCCCACUAGAAUCCUUUUUUUAUCCUUCGUAGCAGUAGCCACAUGAUGACUGAUGUUUUAGCACCUUGCAUACCUCGUGGUGUGUCAGUAAGCUGGAUUCCACGAGAUUUUCAUAUAUUGCCUUUUUCUUUUUUGAUAUGGCCUGUCUGGCUAAAAUGCUUUCUUUUCUACUUAUAGAAAAGAUUAUAUGCUCCUUCGUGGCUUCGUGGAGCCAUAUUUUUUCCUCACUUAUCCUCUCAAGAGAUUCAUAGAGGACUUUCAUUCCUAUGGCUCUUUUGCUGGUGAGAGCUUUGGGUUCGAAUAAUUCAGGAUCAUAAUCAUUAUAGACUUGAUCUAUAUCAAUAGUUGGACUAACUUUUUGCUGCUAAUUCUAACUUAAAUCAUGUGCUGUGCUACCACUUGUUUUCACCGUAUUAAGGGCAAGCAGUGAUUAUCUUGAUAAAAAUCAGUUCUUUUGUUUUGGAUAUCCUUUUGUGGUCAUUAACAACCUCUGUAUUUUUUUUCUAGGAGCUCUUUUAUUUUCCUACAAUCAUCACGGACAUAAACAAGGUUAAGAAAACUGUAUUCAAAAACCGUAUUCAAACAUGUCUUUUAUCAAUUUUGGAUAAGCUCCUAGCACAAAUUUUAUCCUUGGGUAUAACCCUGAAUGAUAUGGUAUUAUAGUCUGGUUAUGAUGAAUCACAUAAGUUAUUUUACCAAUUCUUUUAUAAUUAUAAGCGUUGUCGCUUCCUAAUGGAUUUUUAACCAUAGGAACAGACUGUCCGCUUUUAUUAUAUUGGGGCCUUAAGCUCACUGAAGACCUUUGAGAUUCUUCUUUCUUCAUAUAUUAUUCUUUGAGAUCAUUGAUUGUGAGAAAUUUCUCUAGAUGUGUGACCUUUGAGUUCUGUGAAGAACUCUGGGCAAUCUGACCCUUAGUUUGAUCCUUAAAAUGGACCUUUUUUAGCAUAUUACUAAUAUAUUGUUAUGAAAUUUGGACUUCUGGAUGAUUUUGCGAACUUUUCUAUGGGCAAAGUUUGCUCAAUUCUUCAUGGGCAUCAUCUAUCAUGGCAAGCCCAUUAUAAAUUAUACCAUUGCCUUUGAGAAGCAAUUCUUGACCUUCAGAGCACAUUAUUAUGCCCUUAAUUAUUUUGGAAAGACCCUUCUCCAUUGUAUUCUCGGCUAAGAAAAUUUGCAAUAGAAUUGUUAGAUCCUUUAAUAUAUUCAAUUUCAAAAUCAUAUUCAGCAAAAAAAACCGUUGCCAUUUAAUUAAUCUUUUAUAUUGAGGGAGAUUAGGCAAUUUAUUAAAUAUAAAUCCUUUAACUUGAGUGUUAUCAGAUCUUACCUUGAAUUUCUUUGGUAAAAAAAAAAAAAGUAAAUUUAGCUAUUCCAUUUUUAAUAGUUAACAGUUCAUUUUCAUUACUAUGAUAAUUCUUCUAUGCGGGUUUGAAUGUUCCGGUGGCAUAUCUACAAAUCUUUUCUUGAUAUGUUUUUAAGACUACACCCCAUUAAUUAUCUGAAGCAUCGGUCUCAAGAAUUAAAUUAUCACUAGAAGUAGGGAAUCCUAAUCUUAGAAGAUUUUUACAUUUUUCUUUCGAUUUUUUUACUACUUUGGUGUGGAGAUCUUUCCAUGAUUUAGUAUUAUUCUUUUUUAAUAAUCCUUGUAAAUAUUGUCUUUCUUUAGCUAAGUUUUCUAUGAAACCUUCAGCAUAAUUAAGAUAUCCUAAAAAUAUUUGAAUUUGUUGUUUAGAUUCUAAUUUAUUUGGGAAUAGAUAUAUUUUCCAAAAAUAUGAGGUUGCAUCUCAAUUCCUGUUUCAUCUAUUAUUAACCCUAGAAAUUCUAUCCUGAGUUUCAUUAUUUCAGCUUUCUUUUUAGAGAGUAAUAUUCCAUGUUUCUUGCAUUUCUCUGCAAAAGAAACGAGAUGAUUAAUAUGAUAUAUCUUAUUAUCUGAAAAUAUAAAAAUAUCAUCUAAAUAAACAAUGUAGAAUUCAUGAAAUUCUUUGAAGAUUUGAUCCAUCCUUCUUUCAAAUAUUUUUGGUGCAUUUUUCAAUCCAAAAGGCAUUACAAUCCAUUCAUACUAUCCUUGAGGUGUACUAAAGGCAGUAAGUGGUAUACUUUCUACUUUAAGUUUGAUAUGUCAAAAUCCAGAUUUGCAAUCAAACUUGCUAAAUGUCUUUUUAUCGGUCACAGAGAUAAUUAAUGUAUCUUUAUAAGGUAAAAAAUAUCCAUCGAAUUUGGUAUAUUUAUUUAAUUCUUUGUAGUUAAUAACCAUGCGAGCUUUUCCUCAUUUAAUUUCUACAUGAUUUCUAACCAUAAAGGCUGGACUACUAUGAGGACUUUUAGAUUUUCAAAUAAUCUUAAGUUCUAAUAACUCUUCAAUUUUUUUUAUCAAAUUCUUGUCCAUGUUCUUGCUCAUCUCUCAUAGGCUUAACUCUUAUGAUAACAUUUGGAUCUUUUAAUUCGAUCUUAGCAUAUGUUUAAUCAAUUUCUCAUAAUUGAAUUGGGUUUUCACCAAAAUUUUUAUCAAGUUUUUCUAAAAUUUUUUCAUAGUCUGACAUGAUUUGAAUGAUUUUUAUAGUGUAAUCAACACGCUGACUGUGUCGAAAAUGUAAUUUUUGAGUUGUGCGCCUAACAAGGUUAUAAAUUCUUAGGGUAGUAAUGGAAUGAUUACAUGGUGUUGAGAGUAAUGGCUUCGUUAGUCAUUAUAUAAAUGAAUUGACGAAGGAAAUUAACUCCUAAAAGUAUAUAUGUUCCCAUAUGAUCAUAAGACCAGAAUAUAGGGAUACUUAAGAUGUAAUCUUCGAUUUGGAUUAAAGUCUUAAUCCUACAAGUCCCUAAGGUGAUCUGUUCAUCAUUUGUUCCUUAUCCUUUUAAAGGCUUAUAAUCUUUCCAAUAUGGUUUUGGAUAAAUCCUAGAACUGGCAAAACUAACUCCUAAACCAGUAUCGAUUAAAGCAUGAAACCAUUCCAGUUUAUGUUUAUAAUAUUGUAUAAUCACUUUUAUAUAAAUUAUAAAAGGAUUAGACAUAUCUUAAUAUGGUUUGCUUAAUUCCUUCAAUUGUUAUACUCAUUUCUCUAUCUCCUAUACAAUAAGGAGAGAAAUUAUGAAGAAAGUUCAUCCCUAAUAAUAAAGGAUUUAUUUCUGUUUCAUAAUAUGGUUCUAUGAAAAAAGGAAAGAUGAAUUUUGUUCCUUUUAUUUUUAAUGGUAUUUUACAAUAUUUUCUUAAUGUCUUUCUUUCUCUAUUAAAUCCUACAUAAGUAUGAGGUUCAAUUAGAAUUUUUCUUUCUAAAUAUUUAAUCAUUUUAGCAUCUACAUAAGAUUUUGCAGCUCAUGUAUCAAGGAUAGCAAAAGUCUCGUGCCAUGAUUUUCCAUUAUUAUAGUCAAUCUUAAUUUUUAGAUUUUGAUUAUUUUUUCUAAUUGUGGCUAAUAUUUCAUGUGAUGGUGGUGUCACAAGAUGACUACAUCUAGUAAAACUUUGGGUUCCUCUGAAUUUUGGUUCUCUUUUGGGUAUAGAGAAUGAUCUUUUAUGUCUUAUAAUGAUUCUUCCUUCUGGAGUAUAUUCUAUAGAUUUGGUAGUAUUUCCUUUAAUCAGAGUAGGUUGACUACUUAGAUUCAUUUUCCAUCCUUUUGAUAAAUCUAUUUCUCUCAGGAUUUCAGGAUAUUUUAUAUUUCCAACUUUACUAAAUAAUUUAUCUAUUUCAAUAAAAUAUUUAUUAGCAAACAUUUCACUAUUUGCUGAAUUUGUUAAUGCAUAUUUUAUGGCAUACGUUAUGCUAUAUGGAUAAGACCCCUCAUGCAUUAUAUCAAAGUAUUUAAAAUCAUGACAUAAGGUUAAUGUUUUAUUUAUAUUUCUAUCCCUAAGACUUAUAGAAUAUUUAGGAUAUAUCUUAAAUAUCAAUUUUUUAUAACUCAAGUUUCCUUGUAUUAUUCUAGGGACUGCAUGUUUUCGAUCUUGUAUUCUAUUAUCCAGUACUGCUAAAAUUAUUGGACUAUCUAUUCCUUCCCGAAAAUGAGCUUUUAUCAUAAACUGAAUUCCUCCAAUAUGAUCAUAUCCAAUUUUGGGUCUAUUGCUAGAUUUUAUCUUACUGAUUUUAUCUUCUAUAUCAGUCUUUAAUAAUAAUGGUAUAUUUGUAUUUCCCUUAGCAUACCUAAUUUCAAUAUGUUCUUCUCACACAGUAGCACUGAAAUACAUAACAUUUUUUCUUUUAAUCAUGGUGGCAAUUCCUAGAGCUAACUUAUUGACUGAAGUCAUGGAUGAUUCUAAUCAUUUUUUUGUUAAUCUUGAGGUAUUGUUUUUUUUUUUUAUCAAAGAUUAAUUCUUUGUUAAAAGAACCUUGUUCUUCUAAUUCUUCAUCUUGAUAUAAAUGCUUAUUAUCUAAUUCUUCUAUACUAAUUCCAAAUAUGAUUUUGAAUCUGAGCUACUUAAAGUUUCUUCAGAAAGAUAAUAUAUGCUAUCACUUUCACUAAUACCUUCAUUUUUCUUGUAGAAUUUAUUCUUAUAUUUAUUUUUCUUGUAAUAUUUCUUGUUGCCUUUAAAGAAUCUCUUCUUUUUGAAUUUCUUCCUAUAUUUAUAAGUUUUAUCUGAACAUCCAAAUCUUGGUGGAUCUUCUAACUUAGAGCAAAACAAUCCUUGAUUUAGCCUUUUCAUAAGUCUGUUAUCUCUUAUUUCAGCACACCAUUCACUCAUUCUAUUUCGAGCAAACCUAAUCUUAUUUCCUAAGGUAUCAGUCUCUGUUGUAUCUUCAUAUUUGUUGUUAUAUUCUAGCAUAAUCCUUUUCUCCCAUGGGUCUGGUAUCCUUAUAAAAUAUAGAUCUUAGUAAUAGCAUAUGCUACUUUCAUCUAAUUCACAUUUAUAAUAUAAUUCUUCAAAGCUACAUGUGUAUUCUUCUAAAUAACAUAUAUUACAUAUUUCAAGCCUUGUUAGUUUUAUUACAUUUUCCAUCUUUUUUUCACUUUAUUUCUUAUUGAAAACCAGUUUCUCAAUCUUCUCCUAGGAAUUCUUUUCUUAUUUCAUUUUCAAAUCUAUUUAAAACUUGAUCCAAGCUUUCAUUUUGAUUAUUAUUUUCUCCAUACAAUAUUUUAUUUUUGUUAUUAUCGUUUAGUCCCAUAAACGAAUGUGACACUAUUCCUACAAAUGAAGUUUCAAGGAAUUCUAUACUAUUAUUCAUAUCUAUUUUGUUAAAUACAAAUGCCGUUUUCAUAGAUUUAACCCAAGCGAUAAUCGUUUUAUCUCUAUCUUUGACAUAGUCUAAAUCUAACCAUACUCCAUCAUGGUUGAUUGGUCUCUCUCUAUAUUUUCCUGGAGUUUUAUAAUUUUUUUAGGCUUGUUAACCCUAAAAUAUUGAUGUUGUGAUCUUUCAUGAGCUAGUAUUUCUUCUCUAGUAUAGGAAGCUCUAUUACUAGAUUCUCCUUGUUAAAAAACCGUUGGUUUUGAUUCAUUCAUUUUUAAUUGUUCUAUUCUAUUUUCAAUAUCUCAUAAGUUAAUGAGUACAUCCUCUUCCUCUUCGGAUUUAGAUUCUUCAUUGGAUAUUUCUGGAUUGUAUAAUUCUUUUAAUCCAUUGUCUACAUUUUCACUUAGCAUCCUUAAACUUAUUAAUUUUUUAUCUUCGUUUUUUGUUAAAUAUUGUCUAGAUAUUGCUAUCAUUUCUUUAUCUUUCUUUUCGUUGUAGUAAAUUAUGGUGUCUUGUAAGGUUUUAUUUUUUUUCUUGAAUUACCAUGAGUAAUUCUUCCAUAUUGUUAUUUAUCUUUUGUAUUUCAAUCCUUUUGUAGUUUUCUAUGAAAAAUUAUUUCUAUACACCUCUCUCCUAAUUCUAAAUAGGAGAAUAGGAUCGAUGUUUAAAUUUCUAUUCUUUAUUAUUUUGAGUUCUCCAAUUCUAAAUUCAUGAGCUCUAGAUAAAUAAAAUUGUUCUAAUUGUUUAUCAUCUAAUAUCUCAAGUUUUGAAUAAUAAUAUUGUUUAUGUUUAGUUAUGUUAUCCUUUAUAGUAUUACUAUCUACCAUUAGAUUAUAUCCCCUAUUAUUAAUAAAAUAAACAAUUGUUUCUUCCAUUUUUAUAUUUUGAACCAAAAAUCUGGCUCUGAUACCGUUUUUGCAGACAAUUUUCAAUCCUAAGAUCCAAGUAAGGAUGUAAAUGAUUAAUCUUUAAAAUCUUAUGAAUAUUUUACAAUUUUGCUUUUUUAAAACACACAGUUUUAUGCUAGGUGUUGUGCAAUCUUUUGUAAAAAUUCAUGAACCAAUACUAUAUUGACUUCUCCUAAAAUGCAUAGGUUUGUUAUGAAAUUCUAAGUGUACAACCCAAAAAGUGGGGUGAAUUGGGUUUUUAAAAAUUUAAGCAAUUAUAAGUUAUAACCACACAAAAAUUUCAAUUAAUGUCUUAAUAGAUUCAAUAACAAUAAUUUUAACAAUCAAUAAAGUAAAGAGAUGAGGGAGAAGAGAGCAAACAUGAGAUUUUUACGUGGUUCAGCAAAACCUGCCUACGUUGACGCCUCCAAGCUCACUAUGCUUGAAGAUUUCACUAUCCAAGCAUUACAACCCUAAGGCUUCAAGAUGCUUACAAUUGAUUUCUAAGGUUUCCAUGGACCUUUACAUCCAGAGGUUCUCUCAAACCUCUUAACCAAGUGUUUCUCACACUUACAACCACUUAAUUGUGAUAUUGAAAAAAAGUUACACAAAAUUUCCACUCACACGAUAUAUGUGUUUACAACUAAAAGCCUAGAGUGUGUUUCAAUGAAAGAAUCAAAAAAAAAAAAGUUUUUUUUUUAACCAUGCAAAAGUAAGCUCAAUGGCCAAUUUUUGGAUUUCGUUAUUGAUUGAAUAUGAUUAAUCCUUUUGAUAGUUAGAGCUGAAAACUAGCCGUUAUUGACUUUCUGCACAAGGUCGGAUCAUCGUUAAUACUUAUCGAACUGCUGUUUUGACUUGAUCAAGUUACCGUUAGGUGAAAAUUUAAAUUUUCGGAUCACCAUUUUCGAGACAUCGAAUUGUUGUUAGUUUCUAGUAACAUUGCAAGAAAAUAGUUGGCUUACCGUUUUCAAAAUGUCAGAUCGUCGUUAGUUUCCAAAUCCAUUUGAUGUCGGUUAGCCAUUUGCUACAUUAACUGCUACAUUGAAACUAUUUUUUAAAAUUAUAUUUUUGCCAUGCUUUCUAUAAUUAUACUGUAGCCCAAAUCUUCAUAAUAAUUUACAAAUAGGUCCAUUUCCAGAGUUUCAAAACAAUACUUUUUAUUUCCAAAACUUUAUGAAAUUAUACUAUAACCCAAAAAUAUAUAAAAUAUUUCAAAUAGGUUCAUUUCUAUAAUUUUAAAACAAUACUUGUUGAUUUCAAAAUUCUCAAAACUUUUUAAAUUUAGAGCAUUAACUUCAAAAUAACCAAUUUCAUAAAAUCAUUUUUUUCAUUAAGAUUUAUGAAAAAUGACUUGAGCUUUUAAAUGCUUAAGCAUGCAUAUAUUUAGUCAUACUAGCUUUACAACAAAUGUAACAAGAGAAAUCACCUAAGCUUGUACCUCUAAUGCUUGUUCUUGACUUAGUGAGCUUUUUACCUUUGUCUAUUUGAGUGCCUUGAACUUGAUCUCACACACACACACACACACACACACACACACACACACACACACACACACACACACACACACACACACACACACAUAUAUAUAUAUAUAUAUAUAUAUAUAUCAUUUUAUCCUUUUAUCCUUAACACGUGGUUUGUUAUUAUCAAAACUCAAGUUCGUACAAACGCUUAGGCCAACAUGUUACUCCCAAUCAAUUGACUUCUGACAUGACUACUUCCAAAAUGGCUAGUACCAAAAGGGAAUCCCUCUGGGAUGAGAAUUGAAAAACAUGCCUCUUCUAGCACUAAAAUUACUCCUUCCACCUAUAUUUCCACUGUAAUGUCCUUAAAAUCCUCCGGCAUAUCCACCUCUUUUAGUAUUGCCUCCUAUUUGUGCAUGAUAGUAAUUAAUUAUGCCAUAGUUAUUAUGGUUAGCAAAGUUAGCACAAUUUGCAUUGAAUAUGUGUUUUUCAUUAUGACUUUGUUCAAGUCUUGCCUCUUGAGUAAGCAAUAGAGCAUAUGCACCAUCAUAAUAUAACUUGCUAGCAGUAAUAAAAGUAGAUAAAUGCAGAUAGCUAGCUCCAAAACUAUUGAGAAUUUGUUAAACAUAUCUUUAUCAGAAAUAGGACUACCAGCACAUGUCAAUUUAUCUGCUAUUUUUUUAAUCUUUAAGCAAUACUCUUCUAUGCUUAGUGACUUUUUUUCUCAAAGCAUUCAUCUCAUAUCUCAGUUGAAGAAUCCUACCCUCAUAAUGUUGCCUAAACUUUUUCUGUAAUGUUUUUCAUACAUCAAGUAAGGUGUUAUAAGAAUGAACAAGACCGAGAAUACCUUAAGUGAUAGAGCUGAGUAACUAGCUAAGUAAUGUGUGAUCUUGAGAUCUCCAAACAAUGAACUCAGGAUUUUCAAUCUGUUAAGUAGAUGCAGCAACUGCUCUAGCAUAGCUGAUGAAUCAAUGAAUUGAUUUGGUGCUUCAUUUUCUCUAGUUAUGUAUCCUUCGGUUUCCUCUUAUAAAAGCUAGAACUUGAUUUUGCCAAAGCAUGUAAUUUGAUCAAUCGAAUGUGAUUGGAGUGAUGAAACAGAAUGUUGUUUGAAUUGAUUGAUUUGUAGAGAUUGCAAUUGAAUUUGUGCUUACAUUGCUUGAGCUUGCCAUUUUGGCUCAGAUACCAUGAAUAAAUUAUUGGAAGUUGAGUUAUAGUUGUUGUUUAAUAGCUGAGAAAAUAGAGGAAAAUUCUCUGGAAAUUCUAAAUGUUUCCUAUUGAGCAUACGAAAGGUUAACAUACUAUAUAUAUACAAGUUUCUAAAUUGUUUCUAGCUAAUUUACAGUACAGCUAAUCAAUAGAUUUGAUCCAAAGUAAAACUAAUUAGUUUCACACAUAAGGAGCACGUGAAUCCAUCAUCGUUGCAUAAUCGAACAUGUUGACUUAGCUGCUGACUUGGCAUUGACAGCUGAUUUGCUUCUUUUUUGUAACUCUGGAUAGUGUGCUUUCUUCACAAGUUUCCCCAAAUCUCCAUUAUGUACAGCUUCUGCAAAAAUUUCCUAACCAAACCAUUUAUUUUAGGGUUGGCAGAAAAGCCCGGGCCGGGCCAGGCCCGCGUCGGCCCGGCCCAGGCCCGCAGCUUGAAAUUAUGGGUAAGGGCUUAUAAUUGACUAAGCCCAUAUGUUAUGGGCUUAGUCAAGGGCCUGAUUGAAAGCCCGGGCUUAAGCCUGGGCUUUUCAAUAAAUAAUAUAUAUAUUUUAAAAAAUAUAUAUAAUAUAUUAAUAUAUCAAAAAUUAAAAAAUAAAAACUUAAAACAAAAUAAAUAAAAAUCCUUCAAUCCCGUGAGUCUCUAAGUAUAAGUUGGUAAAUCCCUAAAUCGGUAAUAUUAAUUGAAUUGACAAAACAAUUAUAACAUAACAAAACAAAUUAUAAUAUUGAACUGACAAAAUCCCUAAAUCGUAAAUCCCUCGUUCCCUCACUUCUCACUCACCUCUCAGUUAUCACUCACUGUCACGGCGUCAUCGUGCCGACGUCUCACUGUUCUCGCCACCGGCAGCCAACAGCAGCGAGCAUCUCCAGAUUCCAGCAUCGUCGAGCCAGAGCCAGCACCAGCCAUCGGCGACCCACCGUCCAGCAGCAGCAGAAACAAAUCCCAGCAGCAGCAGCAACAGAUUCCAGCAGCAACAGCAACAGAUUCCAGCAGCAGCAGCAGUAACAGAUUCCAGCAGCAGCAGCAGUAACAGAUUCCAGCAUCACUGCAGCAGCAACAGAUUCCAGCAGCACUGCAGCAGCAACAGAUUCCAGCUGCAGCAGCAACAGAUUCCAGUGAGCUAGAUUUCUAUUUUUCUAAAGUUGACAAGUCCCGUGCAUUGAGUUCUUUCACUGUUGUGCUUGUAAAUGCAGUAUUCGUUUACUGCAUUUACACUUAGCUUAAUUAAUUUAAUAUUUUAUCUUCUUUAAUUUUGUAUAGGUUUAUAAUGGAAAAUGUUUCUGAAUCUUCUAAUUUUCCAUCAAAUCCAUCUGUGGAGUCGAGGAAUUGAAGGAUGAGGACGAAGAUGGCCCGUAAAUAUUAGAUUAGUUUUUUUUUUUUUUAUAUUAGUAGUUGAUUAAUGUUGUGUAUGGUACUUGUGAUGUUAGUAUUUUUAUAUUUUAUGUUGGCUAAUCAUGUAUUAGAGAAUUAUGCUUAAGUUUUUAGCCUAUUGUAGUAUUAUGUAUUGGAUAAUUAUGUUUUGAAAAAUUAUAAUUUUAUUUAAUUUUUUUAAAAAAAAUCGUAAAAGCCCAGGCCCGGCCCAGGCCCGUCAAGGCCCGGCUCCCCCAAAGCCCGCCCAAUUUGAAUUGGCUUUAAGAGGGCCUGGACUUUUUAAACAUUAUAUGGGCUUGGUCUUGGGCUUGGCAAAGCCCGGCCCAGGCCCUUAAAUUGCCAACCCUAAUUUAUUUGUAAUUUCCUCUUGUGUUGGCCCUAUGCCAUCAUCAAGUGGUACCGUGAGAGGAUUUCCAUCUAGAUUACCCUGAUCUUUGUCUGAAUCAUAACUAGUAUGCAUAGUGCUUUCAUCCUCAUCACCCUGCGCAGCCAAAACAAAAUGCUUAACAUUACAUAUACAGUAAAACCUCUCUAUAGUCAUAUUGUUGGGAUUAAACUAAUUUUAUUAAUAUGAAGAUGUUAUAAACUUAAUGGAAAUUCAGUGACAAAUCUAUUGAUUAGCUGUGCUACUUUGAUAAUUAAUUAAUGAAGCAUGUCAAAUCUAAUGCAUUGACAUUGAUAAAAGAGGUAAACAUAUAAUUUAAAAAACUAGUACUUAUAUCUAUCAUCUGUGUAGUAUUGGGAACAUGCAAAGUCUUCUUAUUGAAAAUCUAAAGAAUAAAUUAUUAUCCAAAAUAAUUUCAGAAAAAUAUUAUAUUUCAUCUUAAAUCUUUCAUGUAACAUAGCAAUUUUUUUUUUUUGCGCAAUAUACAUAUUAGUAAUACUGUGUGGAUGCGUGUUCCUUAAGAUAUGCUCUAUAAAAGUUGUUAACUUAUUACAAUGUGAAGUUUGUUCUUAUUUAUAAUUGGCUUAAAGCAGGAAUAAGAUUUUUUGUGACUAUUGGACGUUGUUCUUAUAAAAUGUAUCACUACAGAGAGAUUUUAUUAUAAUUCUAAACCGAGAAAAGAAAGUGUAAUCCUAAUAAAUCACCAUCCAUUAGAGCUAUAAUGAAUUAAGCUUUACAAAGAAGAAGAAGAAAGAUUACAAUGUGAAGGCAACAAGAAUCAUGACAAAGUGAGAAAAAGAGAGGCCACAUAAGCCCCAAGGGAAAUUGAAAUUUUAUAACACAGCCUAAUUGCAGAAAGCAUAGGCGAAAAACAGGUGCUUGAUUGCAAACAUGCACACGCGCGCGCGCGCACACACAAUUUGACCACAAAGACUGCAUACCUUUGAGAGUUGGUCCUCUGGGGCAUAGGCAUUUUUCGCACGUUUUCGUGCUUCCUCCUUUUAUGGCCACGUAGUUUUCGUAAGCUUGAUCAAGAAACUCCUCCAAUUGUUCAUCAUACCUAACACCAAAAAAAUGUCAUAAGAUCACAAAGGCAUAAGUUGAUAGAUAUAUUUUUCAAGAUAAUGCGACAGAAGAUAUAGGUAGAAAAGAAUUACUUUCUGCAUUCUUUAUCAGAGUCACUGUCACUGGACAAUUGCUCUUGAGUGUCUCUAUCGGGUCUCUCAUCUUCACAGCCCUCUGCAGUAGCAUUCUCAUCAUCAUCAUCAUAUUCAACAGCAGCAAGAUCUUUUUUACCCUAAAUCGAUCAUUCAAGUUUAUAAAAGAAUGAGAUACUUGCCUUAGACCACACUUUUGUAUUGGACAAAACUAAUAAAUCAAAAUUGCAACUAAUAUUGUCCUACCCAGCCAUUUUUCUUUUAUCCUGAUGUCAAGUACACUACAAUCGAUGAGUACCUCAGUCAGUUUGCGUAACCCUUCUCUGUUGAGUUGUAGCUUGCAGGAUAUUGGGAAAUAAAUAAUUGGCUUGUUGCCAUCUUUGGUUUGUGGGUGCGUUUGGGAUUGAGGUUGGGCAGCUGUAGCUUAAAAGCUACAGCACUAAAGUGUCUGGUAAACACUAACUACUGUAGCUUUUAAGCUAUGUUGAUAUAAUUUUUUACUUGUAUAAUGAAAAAUCUAUUAUAUCUUUAAUAAUUUCAUCAAAAUUAUUAUUUAAAAUUUAUAUUUACUAUAUAUUACUAACUUUUAUUUAAUACUUAUAGCUUUUUUUCCACAGCAGCUAUAGCUUAAAAGCUACAGCACUUCAAUCCCAAACGCACCCUGUAUCUGUAAACAUUAUGGUUGUUGGCCUUACCUUCUUUUGGUUUUCUAUGGAAUUUGUAGCACCAUAUUUUGUCCACUAUGUCAGUACACUAGUGAUUAAACAAAGUAGUCUCAUGUGCUUGAUCUAAAAAUAAUUAUAAAGUCACCAUGCGGUUGAUCUAAAGAUAAUUAUAAAGUCACAAACACAGAAAAAUUAAAAGUAAUUCAUAAACAUUUGUCAUGUGAAAUUUACUUAAUGGAAGAGAAAUUCUAGGAAACAACUUUAUGGUGAGAAAACUCUAAAAAUCAAACUGAAAGAUAUAUAAUAAAUAAUUUUAUAAGAAUUAGGCUAUGUUUCAAAUAAUAUCACAUAUAGUAAAUUUAAUAUCACAUAUAGUAAAUUUAUGAGUUGUCGCUCAUCAUAACUCAAUUGUUUCACAUAUUGUAAUUCUUUAAUUUUGAAUAACAACAUAUGUUUCAUAAGAUUUAAAAUGGUAUGACUCAUUUUAUAAUAUUUUUAACUGAAUUGAAAUUCUGCAACUAUAAAAAUUGAAAAGAAUGAACUUGGCGGUAUUACACUUAUAAUAUUGUUUCUUAUGGUGAACCAAAAGCAAGCCAAAAUUACGCUUACAUCAUCUUACUCUACCGUAAAACUUAUUUAUAAUCAUAACGGUAACACUAAAUUAAUUUUAUUACUGUGAGAGUUUAAUAUUUAAUAGAGGUGUAGUUACAAAAAUUAUUAUUUUAACUUAAUUAUUUUUUGUGCAAGUGAUAUAGCGAUAAAAUAUGCACUAUAUUAAUAACUAAUUAAUACAGCAUGUCAAAUUCAAUGUACUAACAAUGAUGAAAAAGAUAGGCAUAGUUUGAAAAAAACUAGUACAUAUAUCUUUAUAGUGCUGGAAUUAUGUAAAAUCAUCUUGAAAGUCUAAAAAAUAAAUGAUUGUACAAAAUAAUUUUAGAAAAAUAUUUUACUUCAUCUUAAACCUUUAACAUAAUAAGGGAUAUAUUUUUUACAAUAUACCGAUAAUUAUUACUAUUAGAGGUAACUUUCUUAAAACCGGAUUUAAAAAAAUUAUAAUUUAUCAUAAUAUAGAGUUUAUUCUUAUUUAUAAUUAUUAGGCUUGAUAAUCGACUAGGUCGUGUUUGGGCCAUGCCAAGCUCUAGCCCAACUAGGGGUGGCAAAACGAAUAAACGAAUCGAAUUUGAAUCGAAUCGUAAACGAAUUGGGUCAAAAUUCUAUGGAUUCGGAUUCGAUUCGUUUAUUAAACGAAUUGAAAUUUCAGGAUUCAGAUUCGAUUCGGUUAUUAAACAAAUAUUCGGUUCGAUUCGUUUAAUUCGUUUAAUAGAAUUGAUAAACGAAUCGAAUCGAAUCCGGAUUCGUUUAUUAUUCGCUUAUCCUUUACGAAUCCAUAACGAAUCGAAUCGAAUCAGGAUUCGUUUAGAAAAAUAUAAUUAAUAAACAAAAUUAAGCAAAAAAAACACAAAUUUAAUAUCCCACAACAAAAUACAAAUAAUUCAAAUCAUAUUUUACAGUCAUCCAAAUACUAAAUUACAAAUCCUUAAUAUUACAAAUAACAAUAAUUCAAAUUCAAAUUAUAAAGAAAUGUAAUUUCUUUAAUUCUCUUCAUUUGUCUUUGUCGCCUUGAAAACAAAAAUCCUACACCAAAAAGUAAAUAAAAUGUUAUUAACAUGCUGCAAUAUUGAUAAUAGUCAUUGUAAAAUUUCAAAAAUCAAAUAUAUAGCAAAUUUGUAGCAUUUUCAAGGAAAUAAUAAUUAAAUAAGAUAAAAACUUUAUCUACCACACUCACACACUGUCAUUUGGAUCAUUGGCACUCUCUGCAGAUGGAGCACAAUUAGUGCUCAUGUUCAUAAUGUUUUGAGUAAGUUGGUCCACAGUGACAUCCAAAUUUUCUACAAUAAUUUUAUAAAAAUAAAUCUUAAUUAGAAACAAUUGCACAUAAUAUUAUAAAAGAAAAGUAAAUAAAUUUUAUGAGCAAGUUUUACCAAUCUCUCCAAACUUCCAAUCUCUAGUAGUAAUAAUUGCUUGAACUGUCUCUGGCUUCAAUACACUUUGAAAUUGAUCAAGAACUCAACCGCCAAACAACAACAAAACAACAGUAAAACAGCAACAAAAUAGCAGCAAAAUAGUAGUAAAACAACAACAAAAUAUCAGUAAAAUAGGAAUAAAACAACAACAAAACAGUGGAAAAAUAACAAAAAAAAAUGGCAGCGAAACAGCAGCCAAACAACAGCAGUAAAACAGCAGCGAAACAACAAUAAAACGACAGUAAAAUAGUAGUAAAUCAGCAACAAAAUAACAGCAAAACAGUAAUAAAACAACAGCAAAACAGCAACAAAACAACAGCAAAACGGCAAUAAAACAGCAAUAAAAGGCAAAAUUUCAAUGGUGUACCGUGAUGGUGGGUAGUUAGCGCGGUGGGAAGUGGUGCUGGGGAUGAAAACCUUCAAAUUUUAAAAAGCUUUCAAAUAAAUUUAAGGAUAAAAAAGUAAUUUAAUUAAACAAAUAAUAAACGAAUCGACCCGUAUUCGAUUCGUUUAUGACCGAUUUAUUAAACGAAUAAACGAAUCAAAAUUUUCAAACCUGCAUUCUAUUCGUUUAAUUAACGAAUCGAAUCGAAUUCACCCAUUUAUUAAACGAAUCAAUUUUUUCAAACUCAAACCCAUUUAAUUUGCAUCGAAUCGAAUCGAAUAAACGAAUCCUGACCCAUAUUACCACCCCUAAGCCCAACCCUAUGAUUAAAAUGAAGGACUCUAAUACUAAAAAGCUUGACCCUUCAAACUAAAGAACAACCUGGCUUUAAUAAUUUUUUUAUUUUUUUUUUUAUUUUUUUUAAGAAUAUGACUCCUAUUCUUCAUUCUUUAGUAAUAUUAUUAUUAUUAUUGUUCCUUUUUUUUGUUGGAUUUGUUUGUAAGGAAUUUAAUAAAUUAUUUUUUAUUUAACUUAACAACAAUAGAACAUUUAACAAUCUAACAAAAUUAAUAUAUUAACCAAGCAAUAGGUAAAUAAAUCAAAUACAAAAUAACAAAAUUAAUAUGAAAUAGAGAUAAAUAUCCCUAAAGUGUAGUUGUGACCAUCUAUGUGUAUGUGUGUUUAAUAAUAUUUUUAUUUUAAAAAUUAAUUUAAAGAUCAAGAGUCGAGUUAAAACAUUUUGGUAAAACUUUAACCCUAACCCAAAUGUAAUUAGGUCCUGAUUCCUUAAGCCCUAACCCAACGUUUAGCCUUUCAAAUUCGAGUCAAAACCAUUAAAAUUAAGAUCGAAUCAAUCAAGUCGAGGGUCGGAUAAAACCUUUUUGUCAUCCUAAAAAUUACCCUAAAUUAAAAUCAAAAUUUUUUAAAAUUAUAUAAAAAUUAUUCUUAUACACAGUAACAAUAUACGACCCAACAAGAAAUGAACCUGGACGCAUUAGGACUUUGAUCCACAAACAAACUUUCAAAACCCUCUUAGACCUCAAGAGCAUUUUAGUCCAUUUAAUCAAACGUAAAAGUGCGGCUACCAGCUAACUCUCCGGAAUUGAACUGAACGAGUUUCAGAAAUGGCAUCGAAAAGCAAGAUUCUAUCCAUCGGCGGGACAGGGUAUAUCGGUAAAUUCAUCGUGGAAGCUAGCGUGAAAGCCGGCCACCCGACGUUCGUGCUCGUGAGGGAAUCCACAGUCUCUGGUCCUUCCAAAUCUCAGCUCCUCGACCACUUCAAAAACCUCGGCGUCAAUUUCCUUGUCGUGAGUUAUCAAUUUUUUUUUUCAUUUUUUUAAUUCCAAAUUUUGACACGUGGCGGUGUAGCCUCUACUUGAUAGACUUGGUUUUUUUUUUUUUAAUUUAAUUUUUGUGGGUGGUGUUAUUAUUAUGCAGGGAGAUGUUUUGAAUCACGAGAGUUUGGUGAAGGCGAUAAAACAAGUGGACGUGGUGAUAUCAACAGUUGGUCACACUUUAAUAGCCGAUCAGGUCAAGAUUAUUGCUGCCAUUAAAGAAGCCGGUAACGUUAAGGUAUGACAUAAUUAAUGUAAAUGUCUUAGAUUCCGAUCAGGAUUGUGAACUCGUGCACACGUGGUGAUUUAUUCUUCGUGUGGAGCUCGCUGUAGAGUAGAGCUCCCAGUUCCGCUAAUAAACACCCGUCACAUGCGCAAUUGCGCCUCAAAAUAAUUUAAUUAAUUAAUUAAGUAUAAACACCGAUGGCAUGAAAGCAAUUAAAAUUAGUUGAUGUUUAUAAAUUAUUUAUUACUCAGAGAUUCUUCCCAUCGGAAUUUGGAAAUGAUGUUGAUCGAGUCCAUGGCGCCGUGGAGCCAACAAAAUCGACGUAUGACGUAAAGGCGAACAUCCGCCGAGCCGUUGAGGCAGAAGGCAUUCCGUACACGUACGUAGAAUCUUAUUUUUUUGAUGGCUACUUCCUCCCUAAUUUGUUGCAGCCUGGGGCCACUGCCCCCCCUAGGGAUAAGGUUGUCAUCUUCGGCGAUGGAAAUCCAAAAGGUAACAUAAUUUAAUUAAGCUCUGUUUGUUUGGUAUGUAUUGCGGUGUUAAUGUUAUUGUCUGUUGUACAAUGGAUGGUCUUGCUUGGUACUGUUGUUGGAGAGCUGCAGUGUUUUGAUCAACACCUCUAUCCUUAGCUUUCAAGUUAAGUUGAUUUUAUACAACACUUGUUUAAUUAAAAACUUGUAAUAUUCUUACUACUUUGAUAAAAAAAUAUUACGAUUAAAGCAUUAAUGGCACCAUAAUACGAAAUGAAUCUUAAGUGGUCAUUAUAGAUUUUAAGAUAGAGUUUUAAGUGAUUACCAGAUACUUUAGCUGCUGAACCGCCACAUCAUGGUUGCCACACAACAAUUUCAAACAGAGCCUAAAUAACUUCAUUGCAAAACAGUUAAAUGAAUCUAACUUAGUUUCGUCGUUUGAUUUUCAGCUGUUUUUAACAAGGAAGAUGAUAUUGGAACCUACACUAUCAAAGCGGUUGAUGAUCCGAGAACCUUGAACAAAAACUUUUACAUUCAGCCUCCCGGUAAUAUUUACUCAUUCAAUGAUCUUGUGUCUCUGUGGGAGAGAAAGAUUGGUAAAACCCUCGAAAAGGAGUAUGUUUCAGAGGAGCAGCUCCUAAAGAAUAUUCAAGGUUGGUUAAAACUCUCUUUUUUAAAUGUAUUAAAGAGAGCCGUAUAUUCUCUGCCGUAAAUGUUAUUGAUCCUGUCUUCUCCAAAAUGUUGCAGAAGCUGCACCUCCACACAAUGUGAUAUUAUCAAUUUAUCACUCUGCUUUCGUGAAGGGAGUUCAAACCAACUUCAAGAUUGAACCAUCUUUUGGAGUUGAAGCCUCGCAGCUUUAUCCUGAUGUCAAGUACACUACAGUUGAUGAGUACCUCAAUCAGUUUGUGUAACCCUUCUCUGUUUCCAGCUGCAGCUUGCAGGAUCUUGGACUCUUGGUAAAUAAAUAAUUGGCUUGUUGCCAUCUUUGGUUUUAUAUGUAAAAAUUAUGGUUGUUGGCCUUACUUUCUUCUGGUUGUCCAUGGAAUUUGUUAGACCAUAUUAUGUUUGCUAUGUCAGUGAUCAAAUGAAGUAGGCCAUGUACU